AACGAACGCUGGCGGCAUGCCUAACACAUGCAAGUCGAACGAGACCUUCGGGUCUAGUGGCGCACGGGUGCGUAACGCGUGGGAACCUGCCCUUAGGUUCGGAAUAACUCCCCGAAAGGGGUGCUAAUACCGGAUAAUGUCUUCGGACCAAAGAUUUAUCGCCUUUGGAUGGGCCCGCGUUGGAUUAGCUAGUUGGUAGGGUAAAAGCCUACCAAGGCGACGAUCCAUAGCUGGUCUGAGAGGAUGAUCAGCCACACUGGGACUGAGACACGGCCCAGACUCCUACAGGAGGCAGCAGUGGGGAAUAUUGGACAAUGGGCGAAAGCCUGAUCCAGCAAUGCCGCGUGAGUUAUGAAGGCCUUAGGGUUGUAAAGCUCUUUUACCCGGGAUGAUAAUGACAGUACCGGGAGAAUAAGCUCCGGCUAACUCCGUG
rnacentral:rRNA from 1 species